rnacentral:rRNA from 1 species
UACGGGGGGGGCAAGCGUUGUUCGGAAUUACUGGGCGUAAAGGGCUCGUAGGCGGCCAACUAAGUCAGACGUGAAAUCCCUCGGCUUAACCGGGGAACUGCGUCUGAUACUGGAUGGCUUGAGUUCGGGAGAGGGAUGCGGAAUUCCAGGUGUAGCGGUGAAAUGCGUAGAUAUCUGGAGGAACACCGGUGGCGAAGGCGGCUCACUGGCCCGGUACUGACGCUGAGGUGCGAAAGCGUGGGGAGCAAACAGG